GCAGACAGAGCUCCUUUUCUCCCGCCUCUCAGCUGAUCGGCGGGUGGGUGGGGCUUCCACGGAGGUCUGGUGUAGGCCUCUGUGAAGCCUGAACUCCAGUAGGGCCCAAGCCAGCCAGGAAGGAGGAGGCAGCCAGAGUGGCCACCACUGUUCCCUGCAGCAGAAGACCACUUGCUGCCAGGUUGUACUGGAGUUUAGACUUGUGUGGAGCACUGCUAUUUGUCUGAGAAGGAAGUCCUACUUCUUAGUUUUGAGGACAAAAUGGAAUUGCUCAGUGCCCCCCUGAUCCAUGCUCCGUAUACUCCCUUGCUCAGUGAGCUGAGAAUGUGGAAUUGAGAUUUCUAAAGCUUCCAUCAUUUUGGGUGAAGUAGACUGAUCUCGUCUUCCCAGCCUUAAAUUCAAAUGUAAGUGAAAGUAGCUGUGCCAGGAGCUAAGAAUAACUCUGAUGCAGUGGCAAAAGGCUCCUCCAGCUCCCUCACCUUGGAUACAUGUGUAGGGAAGCAAACAAUAGGAGUGGAAGUCACCAGCAAGCAGAUGAGGGGACUUCUGCUUUUUACUGCAGAUGCUAGUAUCACCUCAGCUCCCCGCACCCAACACCAGUAAAAGUGCUACAGCAAAUGCAUUUCAAACAAGUGAGGAGGACAAGUAGCGCUGAUGGAGAGAUGAACUCUGGUCUCAUUUCCGUGUUCAGGGCUAGAGUGACACAGAGAUUGGAGCAAACACAGAGGAGAUACUUUUUGCAUCUGUUGGAAAGCAAACUGAGCACUAGACUGUGGAGAAAGGACAGUGGAUGUAAUUGGGACCACCACAAGACAUUGAGCAAGUUCUCCUGAGUCCUGAAGUCAUCACUUAGGACCCCUACAGUAUUUCAUGAUGAACUGUUUCUUUUAUUUCAGUUUGUAAUACAUAUUACUGCAAUAUUUCUGUAUGUGAGGAACUCUAGUGUCUAAACUAUUAAGUGGGGAAAUAAUUUUAUAUUUAUAUUUUUUGUAACUUUUCUGUAUUUUGGUUGUGGAAAGGUCUGUGCAUCAAAUAAAUGAUCGACACUGAUAAA